rnacentral:snRNA from 1 species
CGGCGAGCGAACCGGGAAGAGCCCAG